AACGAACGCUGGCGGCAUGCCUAACACAUGCAAGUCGAACGAGACCUUCGGGUCUAGUGGCGCACGGGUUCGUAACGCGUGGGAACCUUCCCUUAGGUUCGAAAUAACUCCCCGAAAGGGGUGCUAAUACCGGAUAGUGUCUUCGGACCAAAGAUUUAUCGCCGUUGUAUGGUCCCGAGUUGGAUUAGCUAGUUGGUAGGGUAAAAGCCUACCAAGGCGACGAUCCAUAGCUGGUUUGAGAGGACGAUCAGCCACACUGGGACUGAGACACGGCCCAGACUCCUACGGGAGGCAGCAGUGGGGAAUAUUGGAAAAUGGGCGAAAGCAUGAUCCAGCAAUGCCGCGUGAGUGGUGAAGGCCUUAGGGUUGUAAAGCUCUUUUACCCGGGAUGAUAAUGACAGUACCGGGAGAAUAAGCUACGGCUAACUCCGUG
rnacentral:rRNA from 1 species